GCUCAUUGAUCACAGACUGACAUCAUGCUGUUCACUCUGUACACCUUCAUCACAGCUCUGGCAUAUAUCAGUGGCCAAAGGAUUGUCACUCAAAAACCCUCCUUACUGACUCUGAGUAAAGGAGAAACAGCCACCUUGCACUGCCAGAAACCUGAAGAUGAUUACAGUAAUAUUUACUGGUACAAGCAGGUCCCAGGAGGAGCUCCCCAGUUCGUCCUGUAUUACUACCGUACUCACAGCUCUCCCACAUAUGGAAGUGGAUUCUCCUCCAGCCGCUUCACCUCCAGAGCCCAGUCCAACACAGAUUAUCAGUUAGUAAUAAGCAGCGUGGAGGUGGACGACUCUGCUGUGUAUUACUGUAAGAACUGGUUUAGCAAUGAAGCAGUAUUCGGACAAGGCACUAAACUGAUCGUCAGCGGUAAGUACCUCUCCAUUCCCAUCUGCUCUGCUUCUCUUACCUAA